UACGUAGGGCGCAAGCGUUAUCCGGAAUUAUUGGGCGUAAAGAGCUCGUAGGCGGUUUGUCGCGUCUGCCGUGAAAGUCCGGGGCUCAACUCCGGAUCUGCGGUGGGUACGGGCAGACUAGAGUGAUGUAGGGGAGACUGGAAUUCCUGGUGUAGCGGUGAAAUGCGCAGAUAUCAGGAGGAACACCUGCGGCGAAGGCGGGUUGCUGGGCUGACACUGACGCUGAUGCGCGAAAGCUAGGGGAGCGAACGGG
rnacentral:rRNA from 1 species